GAACGCUGGCGGCAUGCCUAACACAUGCAAGUCGAACGAGACCUUCGGGUCUAGUGGCGCACGGGUGCGUAACGCGUGGGAACCUGCCCUUAGGUUCGGAAUAACUCCCCGAAAGGGGUGCUAAUACCGGAUAAUGUCUUCGGACCAAAGAUUUAUCGCCUUUGGAUGGGCCCGCGUUGGAUUAGCUAGUUGGUAGGGUAAAAGCCUACCAAGGCGACGAUCCAUAGCUGGUCUGAGAGGAUGAUCAGCCACACUGGGACUGAGACGCGGCCCAGACUCCUACGGGAGGCAGCAGUGGGGAAUAUUGGACAAUGGGCGAAAGCCUGAUCCAGCAAUGCCGCGUGAGUGAUGAAGGCCUUAGGGUUGUAAAGCUCUUUUACCCGGGAUGAUAAUGACAGUACCGGGAGAAUAAGCUCCGGCUAACUCCGUG
rnacentral:rRNA from 1 species